AUGCAAGAAUGCAAGCCCACGAGCUACCUCGAAAAUAAUUUGGAAGCGCAGAAACCAAUGGAGUGGUUGGCGCCCUUCAUUGUCGAUAAGUUGAUCUUCCAGACUUCCAUUCUCCAUGUAUUCAUACACAAGACAUCCAAUUUCAGGACAAAACCCAAGCAACAAAACCAGGUUGGGAUGGUGAAGUCGGCUGAGAAUCUCAACCUGCAUCAUGUGGAAAAAAUCAAAGCAUUUAAUAAAUACCCCAUCAACAACAACAACAACAACAAGGUGAAACCCAUAAGAUCUCGCAAUCAACUCAUGGCUAGAUAUUAUUAUAUGAGAUUAAAAGAAAUAUAA
rnacentral:rRNA from 1 species